AGGGGGAGAAUGUGACUGACUGACUGACUGACUGUGCUGUGUUGGGGUUAAGGUGUAUUGUAAUGAAAGGAAUGGACGUUGCCAAGAGAAUGAUAUGAAUCAUAACUGAGAGUAGUAAUAGAAAUAGCAAUCAAGGUGCUCAAAUGCCAGCCUCUAAGACCAAGAACCUCAGCUCUCUAUUCCGGACUGCCGCUAGAACCAAAGCUAAAGCUAAACCACCUAAACAACCUACUUCUACUACUACCUCCCUCCUCGUCGACGACCCAGCUCUCAAACACUUCGUCUUCUCAGCCCACUCCCCUACUCCCGACUCCGUCAUUUCCACAGUCGCCUCCGAGCAGAGCGUUAAGCUACUUUCCGAGUUUAAUUCCCCUUCAGAAGAAGACCCUUCUCCUCAAGAAUCUCAACCUGUUUUUCUUCUUUCAACUCCGAAAGUGGUACCCGGCUCGGAUAAUGGCGAACCAACAAUUUUGGAUACUACUACGAUUCUGGGUCUAACAACGAGGAAUGUGCUCUCAAACAAGAUAUCUUCUAUACUAAAUGGUUGCACAACUGAUGCUUUGGAAAGUUCACCUGAUCAAGAAGAAAUUGUUGGUGAAAUGUCCCUGGAGAAAGAAUUAGAAAUACCAUGGUUUCCGUCUAUUUCAAAUGGCAGCAUAUCAGUGCAUCGUAAAGAAGUAGUACGUGAAAGGAAACAAAAGUGGGUUUUUAAAAGCACCCAGGUUGGCCGUCUUAAUACAUUAGUAAAAAUGUGUGCUGAGAAAGUAGGAUCAGACAUUGCUGUUGAGGUUUUUGGUAAGUUGGGACGAGAAACUGGUGUAAAAGAAUAUGGUGCAUUGAUAAAGGUCUGCAUAGAGAAGGCUAGGAGCACCACUGACGAAGAGGUUGCUCUAGAACAGAUCCACAGGGCUUUUCGUUUUUUUAAAUCAAUGAAGGAAAACGGUUUUCCACUAGAAGAGGAAACUUAUGGCCCCUUUCUUGCCUAUUUGAUUGACAUGGCUAUGGUUGAAGAAUUUAAUUUCUUUUGUGAAGUUAUCACAGACGCAAAUUCUAGUUUGUCUUCUAAGUUAGGUUAUUAUGAGAUGUUGCUAUGGAUCAAAGUUAAUAAUGAAGAAAAAAUUCAAGAGAUGUGUCAUUACAUUGUGAGCAAGGAAGGUGAAGCUAAGGCUAAUUUACAAGAAAAUUACUUGUUAGCAUUAUAUGAAGGAGGGCGGGAUGCGGAGCUUUUGCAGCUAUUAAAAAUUAUAGACAUUACAAAAUUCUCUUCAGUGGACUGUGUAGACAUUAUCUUUAAAUCAUUAGGAAAGCUACAACUGGAGGUGCUUGCGGAGAAGUUCUUUCUUGUAUUUAAAACUCAUGAUUUUGGAGCAGAAAAUUUUACACAUUUGCUCUAUAGUUAUGCCAUUGGCAAUCCAAAUUUAGCGGUUGAAGAUGUCAUCUUAACGUUCAAAAACUUGCACUCUAAGUUAGAAGUGACACCUUCCAGUGCAUCUUAUGAAAAGCUUGUCAAAUACUGUUGUGAUAUACGCAAGGUGCAUGCUGCUCUUGGUUUAGUUGAUGAAAUGUGUGAUGGAGGUUUGACUGUCUCCGCAGAGGCAAUAAACAACCUUUUGCUUGCUUGUGCACUAAGUCACAAUUUCAAUCUGGUUAACCGAGUGUAUUCUCUGAUUUGUCGUCACAACUUACAACCAAAUGCUGAAACUUUCAGGAUGAUGAUAAAUUUGUGCGUGAGAAUGAAAGAUAUUGCUGGUGCAUACAACCUGCUUGGUGAUUUGGAGAAAAUGAAAAUGGUGCCCACUGCCAACAUGUAUAAUAUUAUAAUGGCAGGAUAUUUCCGCGAGAAAAACUUUAAUGGGGCGUUGAUGGUUCUCAAGCAAAUGGAAGAAUCAAAAAUCAAACCAGAUUCCAAAACUUUGAGCUAUUUAAUAAGCAAUUGUGUUUCUGAAGAAGAUAUUAACAAGUACUGUGAACAACUGAAGCAUUCUGGAAUCCAAGUUACGAGAGAUAUUUACAUGGCGCUCAUAAAUGCAUAUGCAACUUGUGGACAAUUUGAAAAGGCAAAACAGAUAGCCUCAGAAAAAUGGGUUUCAACAAAUCACUUGACAGAAGUUAAGAGCGUGCUUGUCCAAGCCCUUGCAUCACAUGGGCAAUUCUCCGAUGCCCUCAAUAUGUACGAAGAGAUGAAACAAGCUGGAUGCAAUUUAGAUUCCAAAGCUGUUAUAAGUCUUAUUGAGCAUUAUGAAUCUGAUGGAGGGUCAAGUACAUUAAUUCAGUUACUAGAGGAAUUACAUGAUCCUGAUUAUUGGUUUGAUGGUUGCUGCCGAGUCAUUUUAUAUUGUGUUCGAUACAAGAAUUUAAGUACUGCUGUUGAUUUGCUUAAGCAACUUAAGCAUAAAGUCUGUUAUGACGAUGAUAUGCCUCUAGAAGCUUUUCUUGACGAGGUUGUGGGAUCGACGAAGGUUAUUGUCAGUGUUGAAAUGCAUGAUAGACUCUAUAUUCUCAAGGAUUCUCCUAAAAGUAAACAAAUUCACAAAUCAAGUUGUGGUGUUUUGCCUAAUUGGAGAUUUGGAGUCUACACACUUACAGAUGGGCAUGGAUUUGCUCCGCGCUGUCAAAGAAGAUCUUGGGCAUGUCCCUCCACGAAAAUGUCUCGAUUUUCUUCUCCAAGCUUGUGCUAAUGCCAAAGAUUUGGAUAAUGCCCGAUUGAUUUGGAGAGAAUACGAUGCUGCUGGUCUUCCUCGUAACAUUUUAACUUUUGUUAGGAUGUAUCAAGUUUUGUUGAUUGCCAGGGACCAUAAGGCUGCAAAGAUCUUGCUUACUCAAAUUCCCAAGGACGAUCCCCAUGUUCGACAAAUUAUCAAAGCAUGUCAAACAACUUUCUCAAAAUCGUCAUUAAAAACAUCUAGGAAAUAGAGGGAACAAUAGCAAACUUUUUUUGUUGGUAUUUUUUUUGUCCUAACUCAUCAAUCCUUCGAUUUAACUUUCAGUGGUGUUGUAGUACGUUUAAAUGUAGUAAAUGUGAUCAGUAGCUUGUAUUGUUCAAAUAAUAACUAGGUAAAUCACCUUAA